rnacentral:rRNA from 5 species
GUUGACCUCGGAUCAGGUAGGAAUACCCGCUGAACUUAAGCAUAUCAAUAAGCGGAGGAAAAGAA